UACGGGGGGGGCAAGCGUUGUUCGGAAUUACUGGGCGUAAAGGGCUCGUAGGCGGCCAACUAAGUCAGACGUGAAAUCCCUCGGCUUAACCGGGAACUGCGUCUGAUACUGGAUGGCUUGAGAUUGGGAGAGGGAUGCGGAAUUCCAGGUGUAGCGGUGAAAUGCGUAGAUAUCAGGAGGAACACCGGUGGCGAAGGCGGGUCUCUGGGCCGAUACUGACGCUGAGGAGCGAAAGCGUGGGGAGCGAACAGG
rnacentral:rRNA from 1 species